rnacentral:rRNA from 1 species
UACAGAGGGUGCGAGCGUUAAUCGGAAUUACUGGGCGCAAAGCGCGUGUAGGUGGAUUGGUGUGUCAGAUGUGAAAUCCCUGGGCUCAACCCAGGAACUGCACCUGAAACUACCAGUCUUGAGUGGUGGAGAGGGAAGUGGAAUUCCUGGUGUAGAGGUGAAAUUCGUAGAUAUCAGGAGGAACACCAGUGGCGAAGGCGGCUUCCUGGACACCAACUGACGCUGAGACGCGAAAGCGUGGGGAGCAAACAGG